rnacentral:misc_RNA from 1 species
GUGAAUCAUCGAAUCUUUGAACGCAAAUUGCGCUUCCUGGCAUCCCGGGGAGUAUGCCUGUUUGAGGGUCAGUAUUAAUAACAAAUCGGUUUAGUUACAAAUUGGGACGUUGACGGAGUUGGGGCUAUUUUAAGAUUUUUGGUUUAGAGGCUUUAAAUUGACUUUUGUUGCGCAUUUUUAAACGUACAUAAAUUUUUUUUAUUCGUCUAUUCGUAAUGCCAAAAUCUUAGUAGAUGCGAUCACAUCGUGUGGCUUCGUGUCCAUAAAAUUUUCAUGAUUUGAUCUCAA